UUUGGAUUUUGGGGAGUCGUUGGUACUUUCAUACUGAAGAAAUCAUGGAGAAUUGCAUUCUUCAACUUGUUUGAUGACGUUGGAGAUUGGUUCUAUGUGAGGACUGCUAUAUUUGUGUCCAAGCUGAGAAGAGGCUGAAAUAGUAGAGAUGGGCAAGCUGGUAGGUUGUACAAGAAGAAAGGAACAACAACUAUUGCUUAUGAAUAGUUUUUGGGACCUCAAUUAUAGUCCAUGAUGUAUGUGUUUUAAUGUCCUACCGUUUAUUAAUGUUAUGUUGGUCGUGUAUUUUGAUUAGUGAUGAUGUAAUAUGAAAUAAGCUCCAUUUAAAAAGUA